UUCAGAUUCUCCUUGAGCUCACAGAUGUAUCUCAAGGCAACCUGACCUGAGACCUGGGAUCGCCAGCUCCAAAUCACCGAGACUCUGAGAAGAACCCAGAAAGUGAAGCUGAAGCUAACAAAGACCGCCAACAGCCAGGAACCUAAAAAUUCAGUGAAACUCUGCUUCAGCUUGCUGCAGGUUAUUGUCAUCCGUUGCUAGCAUUUGGAUUCUCAAGACGAGUAUGUCAUGAGAAAUCACCAUGUGAAGACAACCAGUUUUCUCACCUUACUCAUUUCCUCUCAUCACUUCUUGCCUGCUGAUGGUGAGUGAUGUCAGAAAACAUGCAGGGCAAAGGAAUAUGAAGAAAGAGGUCAACAAGAUGACUACUGAGCAGAUAAAAGUCCUGGCUGAUAAGUUGAGGAUGAUCCCUGGCUUCACAAGGAAUAACUUCAGGAGUUGCAGAGUAAAGCUGAUGGAAAAGGGCCUCUUCAUGGACUAUUCUAGAACAAACCAGGAAAAGGGAACACAGGAAAGAAUGAACGACAAAAAGUUGUCAAACAGUGAAUAUCUGGGCAACAUGAAGAGAAGAGGACCAAGUCUAGUUCCCAGAACAAAUGCCUUCUCUUUGGGCUGAAACAUGAGUUGUGAAUUAAAGGAGAUAAGGUCCUGUGAAUGUAUCUGUAGAAGAAAGAGUUUCUCAUACAACAUGAAAUAAGAAUCAGAAAGAGUUGGGGUUUCCUCACUGAAGUCAGCUGCCUGCAUGCUGUGUCCAUGAGGACUCCAUUCACUCAAGUGGAGAAGGCCAAGACACUCACAAAUACAGUUGUGCUAAAGAUCAAAGAGACAUGGAGGAUCUACCAGACUCUGCUCUCUUGUGCUUUCAUUUCCUGUAGGCUGUGAGCUUCUGAUUGUAGCAAUUGCCAGAGUCUUUGAUUGGAGAUGAUUUGUUUCCUUCCUGUCACUGAAAAUGCUGAAAGCCAGCCACCUUUCU
rnacentral:lncRNA from 1 species